rnacentral:tRNA from 1 species
GUCCUUUUAAUGGACAUAAACACAAGCAAGUCCCUAGUAAGAUAAGGCAAUGCAUGGAAAAU